rnacentral:misc_RNA from 1 species
ACACUUCAACUCUCAUGGUUUGCCAUGAUGAGCUUGGACUUUGGAGGUCUUGCCGGCCUGCAGUCGGCUCCUCUCAAAUGGAUCAGCUUGCCAGUGUUUGGUGGCAUCAUGGGUGUGAUAACUAUCUACGCCUGUGGUUUUCCACUGGGUAACCUUCAGUGAUGGAGGUUCGCUGGAGCUCAUAAAUGUCUCUCCUCAGUGAAGACAGCCUUUUGAAC